rnacentral:rRNA from 1 species
GACACACGGCGGGUGCUAACGUCCGUCGUGAAGAGGGAAACAACCCAGACCGCCAGCUAAGGUCCCAAAGUCAUGGUUAAGUGGGAAACGAUGUGGGAAGGCCCAGACAGCCAGGAUGUUGGCUUAGAAGCAGCCAUCAUUUAAAGAAAGCGUAAUAGCUCACUGGUCGAGUCGGCCUGCGCGGAAGAUGUAACGGGGCUAAACCAUGCACCGAAGCUGCGGCAGCGACACUGUGUGUUGUUGGGUAGGGGAGCGUUCUGUAAGCCUGUGAAGGUGUGUCGUGAGGCAUGCUGGAGGUAUCAGAAGUGCGAAUGCUGACAUAAGUAACGAUAAAGCGGGUGAAAAGCCCGCUCGCCGGAAGACCAAGGGUUCCUGUCCAACGUUAAUCGGGGCAGGGUGAGUCGACCCCUAAGGCGAGGCCGAAAGGCGUAGUCGAUGGGAAACGGGUUAAUAUUCCCGUACUUGGUGUUACUGCGAAGGGGGGACGGAGAAGGCUAUGUUGGCCGGGCGACGGUUGUCCCGGUUUAAGCGUGUAGGUGUGUGUUCCAGGUAAAUCCGGUUCACUUUAACACUGAGGCGUGACGACGAGGCACUACGGUGCUGAAGCAACAAAUGCCCUGCUUCCAGGAAAAGCCUCUAAGCAUCAGGUAACAUCAAAUCGUACCCCAAACCGACACAGGUGGUCAGGUAGAGAAUACCAAGGCGCUUGAGAGAACUCGGGUGAAGGAACUAGGCAAAAUGGUGCCGUAACUUCGGGAGAAGGCACGCUGACACGUAGGUGAAGUGAUUUACUCAUGGAGCUGAAGUCAGUCGAAGAUACCAGCUGGCUGCAACUGUUUAUUAAAAACACAGCACUGUGCAAACACGAAAGUGGACGUAUACGGUGUGACGCCUGCCCGGUGCCGGAAGGUUAAUUGAUGGGGUCAGCGCAAGCGAAGCUCCUGAUCGAAGCCCCGGUAAACGGCGGCCGUAACUAUAACGGUCCUAAGGUAGCGAAAUUCCUUGUCGGGUAAGUUCCGACCUGCACGAAUGGCGUAAUGAUGGCCAGGCUGUCUCCACCCGAGACUCAGUGAAAUUGAACUCGCUGUGAAGAUGCAGUGUACCCGCGGCAAGACGGAAAGACCCCGUGAACCUUUACUAUAGCUUGACACUGAACAUUGAGCCUUGAUGUGUAG